UAAUGAUACUUGCGUCCGGUCGAAAGUCGAGCGUUGAAGCGGAACCUAAGAGCAUCCGUGAUCCGUCGCAACACACGAGGGCGCCUCGCAGAGAACCUGGGAGGGGUGAAAUUCCCAUGA
rnacentral:ncRNA from 1 species